rnacentral:rRNA from 1 species
UACGUAGGGUCCGAGCGUUGUCCGGAAUUAUUGGGCGUAAAGGGCGCGUAGGCGGUUUCUUAAGUUUGAAGUGAUAGUGGGUGGCUUAACUACCCAAGGCCUUUGAAAACUGGGGGAACUUGAGGACCAGAGAGGGACAUAGAAUUCCGGGUGGAGUGGUGAAAUGCGUAGAUAUCGGGAGGAACACCAGCGGCGAAGGCGGCGACCUGGGUAGAUACUGACGCUGAGGUGCGAAAGCGUGGGGAGCAAACAGG